UAAGCGGAGGAAAAGAAACUACAAGGAUNCCCCUAGUACUGCGAGUGAAGCGGGAAAAGCUCAAAUUUAAAAUCUGGUGGUCUUUGGCCAUCCGAGUUGUAAUUUAGAGAAGCGUCUUCCGCGCUGGACCGUGCACAAGUCUCCUGGAAUGGAGCGUCAUAGAGGGUGAGAAUCCCGUCUUUGGCAUGGACACACCAGGGCUUUUGUGAUGCGCUCUCGAAGAGUCGAGUUGUUUGGGAAUGCAGCUCAAAAUGGGUGGUGAACUCCAUCUAAAGCUAAAUAUUGGCGAGAGACCGAUAGCGAACAAGUACCGUGAGGGAAAGAUGAAAAGCACUUUGGAAAGAGAGUGAAACAGUACGUGAAAUUGUUGAAAGGGAAACGCUUGAAGUCAGUCACGUCGACCGAGACUCAGCCUUGCCUCGGCUUGGUGUACUUCUCGGCUGACGGGUCAGCAUCAAUUUUGCCCCUUGGAUAAUGGCGAGGGAAAUGUGACACCUUUAUGGUGUGUUAUAGUCUCUCGUCGCAUGCAAGGGUUGGGAUUGAGGAACUCAGCACGCGCCCUUUGGGUGUCGGGGCUUUGCCCACGAUACGUGCUUAGGAUGUUGGCAUAAUGGCUUUAAACGACC
rnacentral:rRNA from 1 species